GAUGAACGCUGGCGGCGUGCCUAAUACAUGCAAGUCGAGCGAACUGAUUAGAAGCUUGCUUCUAUGACGUUAGCGGCGGACGGGUGAGUAACACGUGGGCAACCUGCCUGUAAGACUGGGAUAACUUCGGGAAACCGAAGCUAAUACCGGAUAGGAUCUUCUCCUUCAUGGGAGAUGAUUGAAAGAUGGUUUCGGCUAUCACUUACAGAUGGGCCCGCGGUGCAUUAGCUAGUUGGUGAGGUAACGGCUCACCAAGGCAACGAUGCAUAGCCGACCUGAGAGGGUGAUCGGCCACACUGGGACUGAGACACGGCCCAGACUCCUACGGGAGGCAGCAGUAGGGAAUCUUCCGCGAUGGACGAAAGUCUGACGGAGCAACGCCGCGUGAGUGAUGAGGGCUUUCGGGUCGUAAAACUCUGUUGUUAGGGAAGAACAAGUACGAGAGUAACUGCUCGUACCUUGACGGUACCUAACCAGAAAGCCACGGCUGACUACGUGCCAGCCGCCGCCGUAAGAC
rnacentral:rRNA from 1 species